rnacentral:rRNA from 1 species
GAUGAACGCUGGCGGCGUGCCUAAUACAUGCAAGUCGAGCGAACGGACGAGAAGCUUGCUUCUCUGAUGUUAGCGGCGGACGGGUGAGUAACACGUGGAUAACCUACCUAUAAGACUGGGAUAACUUCGGGAAACCGGAGCUAAUACCGGAUAAUAUUUUGAACCGCAUGGUUCAAAAGUGAAAGACGGUCUUGCUGUCACUUAUAGAUGGAUCCGCGCUGCAUUAGCUAGUUGGUAAGGUAACGGCUUACCAAGGCAACGAUGCAUAGCCGACCUGAGAGGGUGAUCGGCCACACUGGAACGGAGACGCGGUCCAGACUCCUGCGGGAGGCAGCAGUAGGGAAUCUUCCGCAAUGGGCGAAAGCCUGACGGAGCAACGCCGCGUGAGUGAUGAAGGUCUUCGGAUCGUAAAACUCUGUUAUUAGGGAAGAACAUAUGUGUAAGUAACUGUGCACAUCUUGACGGUACCUAAUCAGAAAGCCACGGCUAACUACGUG